AUGGAGACUUCAUGCAAGUUUCUGCCCAGGGUCACUAUCUAGUGAAACUGAAAGGUUUCCACAUGGAAGCACCUGACCGCCACCGCCCAGUUCAGUCUUUCAGCAACAGUUUCCUAGUAGCUCCUGGUAAUUGAGGGAAACUGACCAGGACCGCUCUUUGGCAUUCUCUGAAGACCAAGAAGCAAACAGGGAUAGAUGCCCUGCCUGGAAGGGGAAAAGACUCUUUUCUAUCCUUUCUGGUUAUACUCCCAGAACUCUACGUGUGACACAGUUGGAUGUGGCAGCUCAUCCAGGGCGAAUUCACACACGUUUCAGAGACCAUCAAGCUUCAGAUAAUCAAGCAACAAGGUUUCCAGCCAGCUCCAGGUGAAGGCACCACCCCACCGCCAUCAAGAAGCACCCUGUCUCCACUAGACAGAGUGGGCUGAGAGUUCCGGGAUCUCCAACAGUUGUAUAAAGACCAAAUGAUAUCUUCUUCCAAAAAGAAUGAGAAGCUGAUAGCUACUAAUGGAACAGAAGACUCAAGAAGAAAGUUGGAAGUGGAAGACACUAAUUAAAGGAGGAUCCAGUUUCACUUGCACUUAGAUGUAGAAAGCCACAAAAUAAUGUGGCUUUCACAUAAACAGGAACAAAGCUGGACAAUCAAUAAAAUCAUGAUUUGCCUUGAGCUCAGCAGCGAGCUAAGGUAGCAAGGCAAACAAGUGCACUAAAUUUCAGAUGACAGGCCACUCUGAGAAGAGAUCAGGUGCAUGAAUGGCUUUACCUUUGGCAAGGCACAGCAUGAAAACGCAACCACCUUAUGGGAGGGUAAAAAGAAAACAUCAAAUUUUAACAAAUCCUUAAAGGCCACGGGUGGGUGAAAGCAAUGGUUUAGACUCCUGGUUCAUCCCAACACUAGAAAGUCAGCACUGCCUCACACGCUCUUUGUACCCCACUCUCAGUAGUCCACAGACACACAAAGCCCCAUCUGCUCACAUUUCUUGAAGAGAGACCAUUCUUGAAAUGGGAACCAAGGGCUUUGGGUCCCUGGGUGAGGGACCAAAAUAAGUCCUCUUGCCUCCAGAGCUCAGGCAAGAAUUCCUUGCCUCUGGUCAUAGAUAGAAUCCAGUAUCACUGGGAGGGUGUGGAGAACCCUUCCUUCCUCCCUCAUUCCCAGGCAAAGAUAAACUCUGAAGAGAUUUCUCAAAAACCUCCGUAUUUCCACGAUAAACCUUGCACAGAGUAACAAGUGUUAGCAACCUACCACUGGGGUUGGGGUGGGGAUAAACAGGGCAAUUCACAUGUCCGUGAUCUCCAGUAAAAGCACAAUGCUACUGAGGGAAGAGUAGAGCAAUAGCUAGCUGACACUAGGGAAGGGACAGGAAACCCCCUGGGGUCCAGCCUUCUGUACUGACAGAAAACAGAGGUUAGCUACCACUGGAGGAGGAGGAUGAAACUCUCUCCUGCCCCAAGUGCUUCAUAGAUAGUAGGGUUUGGCUACCACAUGGGCACAGGAAUGUUGAAAAAAAAAAAAAACACUUCUGAGACCCAGGUACCCAGGAUCUAGCCAAGUGAGGCUGGACCAAGACAACUAAGAGUCCCCAUCCACUCCCAUCUUUAGCCUUCCACCAAAUAACCAACAAUAGCAGUAUACAGUAUAAGAAAGAUAAGAGCAUAGCGAGACCCUUUAGUGGUUCAAGCAGUCAGGGCUUCUUAAAUCUGAGAAAACAUGGAGAAAAAUACUCUAGCACCUUAGGAUUUACAAUCAGUACAUUGUAGCAGUAGUCUACCAUUAGAGGGGUUUUGAUAUGGUUUGGCCGUGUCUCCACCGAAAUCUCAUCUUGAAUUGUAGCUCCCAUAAUUCCCACGUGUUAUGGGAGUGACCCAGUGAGAGAUAAUUGAGUCAUGGGGGCAGUUUCUGCCACACUGUUCUCAUGAUAGUGAAUAAGUCUCACAAGAUCUGAUGGUUUUAUAAGGGGAAACCUCUUUCACUUGGUUCUCAUUCUGUCUUGUCUGCUGCUGUGUAAGAGGUACCUUUCACCUUCUGCCAUGAUUGUGAGACCUCCUCAGCCACGUGGAACUGUGAGU
rnacentral:lncRNA from 1 species